UAACGUAGACGAAAGUUACGCUAAUACCGCAUACGAUCUAAGGAUGAAAGUGGGGGAUCGCAAGACCUCAUGCUCCUGGAGCGGCCGAUAUCUGAUUAGCUAGUUGGUGGGGUAAAGGCCUACCAAGGCAUCGAUCAGUAGCUGGUCUGAGAGGACGACCAGCCACACUGGAACUGAGACACGGUCCAG
rnacentral:rRNA from 1 species